AUUGAACGCUGGCGGCAUGCUUUACACAUGCAAGUCGAACGGCAGCGCGGGCUUCGGCCUGGCGGCGAGUGGCGAACGGGUGAGUAAUGCAUCGGAACGUGCCCAGUAGUGGGGGAUAGCCCGGCGAAAGCCGGAUUAAUACCGCAUACGACCUGAGGGUGAAAGCGGGGGACCGAAAGGCCUCGCGCUAUUGGAGCGGCCGAUGUCGGAUUAGCUAGUUGGUGGGGUAAAGGCUUACCAAGGCGACGAUCCGUAGCUGGUCUGAGAGGACGACCAGCCACACUGGGACUGAGACACGGCCCAGACUCCUACGGGAGGCAGCAGUGGGGAAUUUUGGACAAAGGGGGCGACCCUGAUCCAGCCAUGCCGCGUGCGGGAAGAAGGCCUUCGGGUUGUAAACCGCUUUUGUUCGGGAAGAAAUCCUCUGGGCUAAUACCCCGGGGGGAUGACGGUACCGGAAGAAUAAGCACCGGCUAACUACGUG
rnacentral:rRNA from 1 species